AUUGAACGCUGGCGGCAGGCCUCACACAUGCAAGUCGAACGAGUGGCGGACGGGUGAGUAAUGUCUGGGAAACUGCCUGAUGGAGGGGGAUAAAUCCUGGAAACGGUAGCUAAUACCGCCUACCAUCGGAUGUGCCAAGAUGGGCUUAGCUAGUAGGUGGGGGAAAGGCUCACCUAGGCGCCGAUCCCUAGCUGGUCUGAGAGGAGGACCAUCCACACUGGAAAUGAGACACGGUCCAGACGCCUACGGGAGGCAGCAGUGGGGAAUAGUGCACAAUGGGCGCAAGCCUGAUGCAGCCAUGCCGCGUGUAUGAAGAAGGCCUUCGGGUUGUAAAGUACUUUCAGCGGGGAGGCGUGACCCGCAGAAGAAGCACCGGCUAACUCCGUGCCAGCAGCCGCGGGAUAC
rnacentral:rRNA from 1 species